rnacentral:siRNA from 1 species
UAGCCACCGAUGUUUCCAUG